rnacentral:rRNA from 1 species
CGGGGUGCAUGAGACAUGCAAGUCGAACGGGGUUGAUCGGGCUUGCUCGAUCAACCUAGUGGCGGACGGCUGAGUAACGCGUAGGUGACCUGCCCGGAAGUGGGGAAUAACUGCCCGAAAGGUUGGCUAAUACCGCAUGUGGCCGACGAUUCGGUUCGUCGUCUAAAGCCGCAAGGCGCUUCCGGAGGGGCCUGCGUCCGAUUAGCUAGUUGGUGGGGUAACGGCUCACCAAGGCGACGAUCGGUAGCUGGUCUGAGAGGAUGAUCAGCCAGACUGGGACUGAGACACGGCCCAGACUCCUACGGGACCCACCAAACGGGAAUUCUGCCCAAUGAUUUUUAAUCUUGAGGCAGCAACUCCGCGUGAGGGACGAAGGCCUUCGGGUUGUAAACCUCUUUUCUCAGGGAAGAUACUAGACGGUACCUGAGGAAUAAGCCACGGCUAACUACGUGCCAGCAGCCGCGGUAAUACGUAGGUGGCUAGCGUUGUCGGAAUUACUGGGCGUAAAGAGCGCGCAGGCGGCUGGCCAAGUCCGAUGUGAAAUCUCCCGGCUCAACUGGGAACCCGCAUCUGAAACUGGUCGGCUUGUAGGCGGGAGAGGGUUAGUGGAAUUUCCCUGUGUAGUGGUGAAAUGCUUAGUAAGUGGUGAAAAGGCGUAGAAUAUAGGAAAGGAAACAAUGGCGAAGGCGAUUACCUGGCCACCAUUACAUGAAGAAUAAGGCGCGAAAGCUAGGGGAGCGAACGGGAUUUAGAUACCACGAUAGUCAUAAGCCGUAAAAAAAUGAACAUUAGGCGUUGUCGGUAUCGACCCCGGCAGUGCCGAAGCUUACGCAUUAAGUGUUCCCGCCUGGGGAGUACGGCCGCAAGGCUAAAACUCAAAGGAAUUGACGGGGGACCGCACAAGCAGCGGAGCGUGUGGUUUAAUUCGUCGGUACGCGAAGAACCUUACCAGGACUUGACAUGCACCGGAAAAACGGCGGAAACGUCGUCCUCCCGCAAGGGACCGGUGUGCAGGUGUUGCAAGGCUGUCGUCAGCUCGUGUCGUGAGAUGUUGGGUUAAGUCCCGCAACGAGCGCAACCCCCGUGGCAUGUUGUACCACUCAUGCCAGACUGCCGAGAGAAACUCGGAGGAAGGUGGGGUCGACGUCGGGUCGGCAUGGCCCUUACGUCCUGGGCUACACACACGCUACAAUGGCCGGUACAACGGGUUGCCAAACCGCGAGGUGGAGCUAAUCCCAUAAAGCCGGUCUCAGUUCGGAUUGCAGGCUGAAACUCGCCUGCAUGAAGCCGGAGUUGCUAGUAACCGCAGGCCAGCACACUGCGGUGAAUAUGUUCCCGGGCCUUGUACACACCGCCCGUCACGUCAUGAAAGCCGAUAACACCCGUAGCCGGU